rnacentral:rRNA from 1 species
CUCUCAAGGACAAGCUGUGAUGGGGAGCGAAAUUUAGUAGCGAAGUUCCUGAUGUCACACUGCCAAGAAAAGCUUCUAGUGAGAAUGUAACUGCCCGUACCGCAAACCGACACAGGUAGUUGAGGAGAGAAUCCUAAGGUGUGCGAGAGAACUCUCGUUAAGGAACUCGGCAAAAUGACCCCGUAACUUCGGGAGAAGGGGUGCUGACCGCAAGGUCAGCCGCAGUGAAUAGGCCCAAGCGACUGUUUAUCAAAAACACAGGUCUCUGCAAAAUCGAAAGAUGACGUAUAGGGGCUGACGCCUGCCCGGUGCUGGAAGGUUAAGAGGAGAGGUUAGCGCAAGCGAAGCUUUGAAUUGAAGCCCCAGUAAACGGCGGCCGUAACUAUAACGGUCCUAAGGUAGCGAAAUUCCUUGUCGGGUAAGUUCCGACCCGCACGGAAGGCGUAACGAUUUGGGCACUGUCUCAACGAGAGACUCGGUGAAAUUAUAGUACCAGUGAAGAUGCUGGUUACCCGCGACAGGACGGAAAGACCCCAUGGAGCUUUACUGCAGUUUGAUAUUGCGUGUUUGUAUCACAUGUACAGGAUAGGUAGGAGCCGAAGAUACCGGGACGCCAGUCUCGGAGGAGGCAACGGUGGGAUACUACCCUUGUGAUAUGACCACUCUAACCCGCUGCUCUCAGCGAGCAGGGAGACAGUGUCAGACGGGCAGUUUGACUGGGGCGGUCGCCUCCAAAAAUGUAACGGAGGCGCCCAAAGGUUCCCUCAGAAUGGUUGGAAAUCAUUCGUAGAGUGUAAAGGCAGAAGGGAGCUUGACUGCGAGACCUACAAGUCGAGCAGGGACGAAAGUCGGGCUUAGUGAUCCGGUGGUUCCGCAUGGAAGGGCCAUCGCUCAACGGAUAAAAGCUACCCUGGGGAUAACAGGCUUAUCUCCCCCAAGAGUUCACAUCGACGGGGAGGUUUGGCACCUCGAUGUCGGCUCAUCGCAUCCUGGGGCUGUAGUCGGUCCCAAGGGUUGGGCUGUUCGCCCAUUAAAGCGGUACGCGAGCUGGGUUCAGAACGUCGUGAGACAGUUCGGUCCCUAUCCGUCGCGGGCGUUGGAAAUUUGAGAGGAGCUGUCCUUAGUACGAGAGGACCGGGAUGGACACACCGCUGGUGUACCAGUUGUUCUGCCAAGAGCAUCGCUGGGUAGCUAUGUGUGGACGGGAUAAACGCUGAAAGCAUCUAAGCGUGAAGCCCCCCUCAAGAUGAGAUUUCCCAUCACUUUAAGUGAGUAAGACCCCUGAGAGAUGAUCAGGUAGAUAGGUUGGGAGUGGAAGUACAGCGAUGUAUGGAGCGGACCAAUACUAAUCGGUCGAGGACUUAACC